UACGUAGGGUGCGAGCGUUAAUCGGAAUUACUGGGCGUAAAGCGUGCGCAGGCGGUUCGCUGGGGCCUGCGUGAAAGCCCCGGGCUUAACCUGGGAAUGGCAUGGGAAACUGGGGGGCUGGAGUGUGGCAGAGGGGGGUGGAAUUCCGCGUGUAGCAGUGAAAUGCGUAGAGAUGCGGAGGAACACCGAUGGCGAAGGCAGCCCCCUGGGCUAACACUGACGCUCAGGCACGAAAGCGUGGGGAGCAAACAGG
rnacentral:rRNA from 1 species